UGUCUUGCAAAUCGCUUCUCAAGCUCUAUAUUAGACCUGUCUCCUCGGGGACUAUGAACAUAAACGCGCUUGUAAUAAGCGGAUCGGACCCGGGGGCGGUACCCGGCGUCUCCACCAAACAUCCUUCAUUUGGGGAUCAUGGGGACGAAAUAGGAUCGACGAACGUCUAAAGAGGUUAGCUUUGUUUCGGCUGGGUGCCACCGUAUCGGCCCGAAAUGUACAAUUGCAAAUGACAAUCGUGCUCCAAUGGCGAUGGCCGCGUAAGCGACUGGAACUAUUGAAAUCUAAGUCCUUACGUUUAGCGACCUAAGGCGGGGUUCGCAGGCACCUGGCAACAGAAGCCUGCACU
rnacentral:tmRNA from 1 species